UUAAAGUUGUUGCAGUUAAAAAGCUCGUAGUUGAACCUUGGGCCUGGUUGGCCGGUCCGCCUCACCGCGUGCACUGGUCCGACCGGGUCUUUCCUUCUAGGGAACCUCAUGCCUUUCAUUAGGUGUGCUGGGGAACUAGGACUUUUACUUUGAAAAAAUUAGAGUGUCCAAAGCAGGCCUAUGCUCGAAUACAUUAGCAUGGAAUAAUA
rnacentral:rRNA from 1 species